CGGACGGGUGAGUAAUGUCUGGGAAACUGCCUGAUGGAGGGGGAUAACUACUGGAAACGGUAGCUAAUACCGCAUAACGUCGCAAGACCAAAGAGGGGGACCUUCGGGCCUCUUGCCAUCGGAUGUGCCCAGAUGGGAUUAGCUAGUAGGUGGGGUAACGGCCCACCUAGGCGACGAUCCCUAGCUGGUCUGAGAGGAUGACCAGCCACACUGGAACUGAGACACGGUCCAG
rnacentral:rRNA from 1 species